GUUGAAAUACCAGUUCCCGUACGAUUAUCGAAGUUAAGCAACGUCGAGCCUCGUCAGUACCUAGAUAGAUGACUAUUUAGGAAUACCAGGUGCUGUAA